AACUCUGUUGUUUUAUUCAGUGCAGUGUCAACAGACUGGCGAGGAGCAGGAGGGCGGGGCCUAUACAUAUCAGCCACUGUGAUUGGACACUGGACCCGACUCCUCUUCGCCAUUGGCCCCCCCGCGCUGUCACUCCAGGAUCCGUUCUCGCCGCUUCCCGCGCCAUUCGACGUGCACGCGCAAGACGACAAGGCACGUACCCGCUGGGAGACUGUCUGGAGUCUGUCUGAAUUUGAUAAAAAUUGGAGAUGGAGUUUCACAUCUGUUUGCAAAUUCACGAGGAACCCGCCUGCUGGAAAAUGGGAUUUUUUUUUUUAUCCGCUCGCCUCCUCGAACGAGUUCGCCCACGAGCCGCCGGGCUGAGCCCCAAAAUACAUUUUUUUACAGAUAAAGACAGUGAAAGUUUAUUCUUCUGCAGCCUCCCAGCAGACAGCUCCUCGUGGACAGGAGGCCAGUCGUCAGCCCUGGAGUUCAGGAGGAGUGCAUCACCCAGAAGGCAGUCUGCUGGGGUCAGAAAGGCCGGGUCCCAAACCCGAUUGAUGUAAAAUGACUCAUUGCGAUGCGAGAGGAGACUCCAUGUUUCCUUGCAGCCGCUCACGCCUUCACGUGUCUUCCAACGCCGCAGUGUUUCCGCCCAAAUGGUCUGGCUGCCACUUCUUAACAACUCUAUUGCAGGCUGUGCCACAUCUGAACUGCAGUGAGAAUUUUAAGUGCUGAGGGCUGGUGGUGGACUAGGAGGAAGAUGUCAUGCUAAGGAUGGGUUUUGGUGAUGAUGUUGCUGCUGUUGAUGCAGCAUCGAGCUCUCACUUUGUGCCUCUGUCAGUUAUGAUGCGUAACCACAAAGUGAGUGACAGGCCAAUCCCCGGGAGAGCAAGGGGGCCUGAGGUGAGUCAGAUGUAUCCUUGACCCUGUCUCGCUGUGUCAGGAAGCAACACAAACUCUGAAACAAAGGCCAGAAAUGGCAUGACUGUACAUUGUACAUCUUAAUUUGGUAUAUAGAAAAAGAAGCAACUUAUUUAUGUCCAAGAGAUGUGGUUCUUAUUGCAUGAGCUCCCUGGUCUUAUGAAAUUGUAAUGCAGAAUCUCACAGUGCAGCUGCACCUUUUUAUAUCUUUGCACAUGCGUUUGUUAUCUCCUGAGCACAGAGGGUUUUUUUUUUUUUUUUUUUUUAGAACUUCAAGCAGGAACCCGGUAGUGAUUUUGGUAGAUUCAACAUUGUUUACUGAUACGGUGCUAAACACCCGUUGCCACUUUGAGACUUCAAAUAAGAUGUUACUCCUGUGUCAUUCUUUGGAUUCAGAUGUGUGUAAAGCUGGUUUGAAGGAUUUGUUGUAUUCUCAUUUUCAACUCGAAUGUGGCUCCUAUUUGGACUGAACACUUUCAGAGUAUCAGGGAGCAGGAAAGUUGACGUUGGUACAAAGUUUACUUGAGAAUUUAACCUUUUUUGGAUAUUUCCAUAAUACAUCAUUCAUUAAACAUGACCAACUGCACCUGGAGGCAUCACAAUGCUUGAAGGGGAUCUAACCUAAGAGUGUAUUGUGUGAUUAGGCAAACGUAAUCUGCAUUGCUCGUUGGAAGGAAUGGCUAAUCACGGAUUAGUAAACGUUUCUUCCAAUCUGAAUGUUGAGGUUUUAUUGAUGCAUUACUUCUUCAUGAUGUGAAGUGUGAUGCGUUCUAACUCCAUUCCCACUAUUGGUAUUGUAAUUUAUUCAUUUUUGUUGUGUUGAUUUAUAUAUUAGUCUAUGAAAAGAAAAUUGACCUGAAACAAUUCUGAUAAUAUAUCCAUUAAAGUCAUACAUCAACCAAUGCUUUCUUCUGUUUGAUGUCAACGUAAAUGUAAUAUUUGGGGAUUUUUCAUUGCUGGUUGGACCAAAAAAGCGAUUUGAAAAUGAAACCAAGCUGGUAAAUCAUUGUUGCCGUUUUUACUUUUUCCAUUUUAUAGACUGAAUGUAACUACGGAUGAAUGUAAACAAGAAAAUAAUCGGUAAUGAAAGCGAUCUACAGAUGCAGCUUUUUACAUAUACGUGUGUACCUUAAAUGACCUCAAACUGUUGAAGUGUUUUGGGCUUUUAUUAAUCCCAUGUUGUUUUGGUGAGGAACAUCUAAUGGAUCCUGACCGUUGGUCCACAAGUGCUUUUUGCACGACAUCUAUUAAAUGCAGUCUGCAUAAAAGACCAA